GCGCGAAAACUUUACAAUGCUGGCAACAGCGAUAAGGGAACCUCGAGUGCCAGGUUACACAUCUGGCUGUCGAGAUGCCUAAAAAGCAUUUCAUAGCAAGGGCCGGGCAAGACCGGUGCCAGCCGCCGCGGUAACACCGGCGGCUCGAGUGGUAACCGUUAUUAUUGGGUCUAAAGGGUCUGUAGCCGGCCGGAUAAGUCUCUUGAGAAAUCUGGCAGCUUAACUGUCAGGCUUUCAGGGGAUACUGUCUGGCUCGAGGCCGGGAGAGGUGAGAGGUACUUCAGGGGUAGGGGUGAAAUCUUGUAAUCCUUGAAGGACCACCAGUGGCGAAGGCGUCUCACCAGAACGGACCUGACGGCAAGGGACGAAAGCUAGGGGCACGAACC
rnacentral:rRNA from 1 species